rnacentral:rRNA from 1 species
AUUGAACGCUGGCGGCAUGCCUUACACAUGCAGGUCGAACGGUAACAGGUCUUCGGAUGCUGACGAGUGGCGAACGGGUGAGUAAUACAUCGGAACGUGCCCGAUCGUGGGGGAUAACGAGGCGAAAGCUUUGCUAAUACCGCAUACGAUCUACGGAUGAAAGCGGGGGAUCUUCGGACCUCGCGCGGACGGAGCGGCCGAUGGCAGAUUAGGUAGUUGGUGGGAUAAAAGCUUACCAAGCCGACGAUCUGUAGCUGGUCUGAGAGGAUGAUCAGCCACACUGGGACUGAGACCCGGCCCAGACUCCUACGGGAGGCAGCAGUGGGGAAUUUUGGACAAUGGGCGAAAGCCUGAUCCAGCCAUGCCGCGUGCAGGAUGAAGGCCUUCGGGUUGUAAACUGCUUUUGUACGGAACGAAAAGCCUCUUUCUAAUAAAGAGGGGUCAUGACGGUACCGUAAGAAUAAGCACCGGCUAACUACGUG